rnacentral:sRNA from 1 species
GUUGUCCAGAGGCUGGUUGCUUUUAGUCCAAGUAAUGCCUCCCACACCUCGGAUUUCAGCCAGGCUGUGCCAGGGAGGGCAGAGGGCACCCCGAAAAGAAACGCUUUACUGAAGAGGCCACCAAAUACUUCCGGGACAGAGUCAGCCCAGUGCAUCUGCAAAUCCUGCUGACUAACAAUGAAGCCUGGAAGAGAUUCGUGACUGCGGCUGAAUUGCCCAGGGAUGAGGCAGAUGCUCUCUAUGAAGCUCUGAAGAAGCUUAGAACAUAUGCGGCUAUUGAGGACAAAGACGUGCAGCAAAAAGACCAGCAGUUUAGGGAGUGGUUUUUGAAAGAGUUUCCCCAAGUCAAGAGGAAUAUCCAGGAGUCCAUAGAGAAGCUUCGUGCCCUUGCAAAUGGGAUUGAAGAGGUCCACAGAGGCUGCACCAUCUCCAAUGUGGUGUCCAGCUCCACUGGCGCUGCCUCUGGCAUCAUGUCCCUCGCUGGCCUUGUUCUGGCACCACUUACAGCAGGGACGAGUCUGGCCCUUACUGCAGCUGGGGUAGGGCUGGGAGCAGCAUCUGCUGUGACUGGGAUCA